rnacentral:rRNA from 1 species
AUACGGAGGGUGCGAGCGUUGUUCGGAAUCACUGGGCGUAAAGGGCGCGCAGGCGGUUUGUCAAGUCAGAUGUGAAAGGCCACGGCUCAACCGUGGAGGUGCAUCUGAAACUGGCAGACUUGAGUACCGGAGGGGAAAGUGGAAUUCCCGGUGUAGAGGUGAAAUUCGUAGAUAUCGGGAGGAACACCGGAGGCGAAGGCGACUUUCUGGACGGAUACUGACGCUGAGGCGCGAAAGCGUGGGGAGCAAACAGGAUUAGAUACCCCAGUAGUCC